UGCUAAACGGAUAAAACCCUAGUUAAAAUAGCAAAAUAAUAUUUUGUUCCGGGAACAUUUUAUUCUGUUUAAGUUCAUUUUUCAUGUGUAUUAAAUAACAGAGCCAUUCUAUGUUACAACUUUUUUUUCCCGGGAAUCAGCCAUAUAACAAUUGAACCGAUAUAAUUUUACUGUUGAUAAAUUUUAUAAAAAAUAUUUCAUAAGAUAUAGAUUUAUAUCCUUUAAUACGUGUUAUUGAAAAAUAUUUUUCUACUAAGUGAUCAUGAUUUCUGCAAGCGUCUAUAGUACUGCUCCAAUACUGUAGUGAGCUAAACCCUGUGAUAAACGUACACCAUUUAUUUAGUAAACACAAGGUUUAUGUUGCUUACUAUUUACGGAAGAUAUUAAUUGUACUACCUGUCAUUGAAUCAUUAUAUGAGUAUAUUUGCUUACUUUCAAAAUCUUGUCUAUCACCUAAUUCAUCCAUGACCUGUACAUGGAUGGUAGUAGUAAAUGCAGGCUACAGCCUCCAGCCGCUACCCCAUGCCCUGUAGCACUGGCUUAGGCAUUUAUAUUUUAGGACAACAUUUAUGUAUGAAAAUUGAUCAAUUCAGAAUUCAGUAACAUCCGCGGCUGACGACUUGUAAAUGAUAUUUUUAGAAUUAAGUUACAUAUACGAUGCGAAAUGUAAUUUUGCAUAAAUUUUGUUUAUUUUUGUUUGGUUUUAUGGCGUACCAACGUAAUUUAGAUCAUAAUUAUGGCGCCGAAUCAGGAAAGGUGAUUUUUGCUAACCUCGAGUGUUACAAGCUUUAAAGCAACACGAUGGGUCAAAACCACGUCACCUGCUGGAGAUGCAUAGACUCCAGUAAUUCGAAACCAUUUAGUCGCACAGGGAUAAACGGUGGAUAUAUAAUGUCUUAUUGUUUUUAGUACACAGCUUAUAUUUCUUUUAUAACAGAGACAAGCUGGUGGAAAGCUGUUAAAGCGUUAAUGAUCAUCGGAAAUGCCUGCUUAACAUUCAGUACAAUUCUUGGCCUAUUAUACUGCAAGUUCAACACACAGAACAGCGCACAAGGCACGAUAUUCAUGGCUUUAUUUGGAGGUAUUGUGCUAACCAUUGCUGUGAUAGUGUUUGCAUCUGAAAGAAAAGAGGAUAGUUCAUCAUUCAGUGUAUGCUUCAUACUGGCAAUAGUAUCUGCCGUGUUGGCAUUGUUGUCUGCAGCUCUAGUAGGAAAAGCGAAACGGGGCCCGACGGGAUAUAGCUCAAUAUAAUCACGGCUUGAUUCAACACUAUAGAAACUACUUUGAAACAAGGAUAGAGAACUCUAUUUUAUAUCACAACUUACGCAAUGCAAAACACUGUUUUAUAUAUAUUGUAGCAAGAGUAAUAUUGAUACCUAUCACGUGGUGUAAUUCUAAGUGUUAAAGAAUUUGAGAGAUGAGCAUAUAUUGCUGCAUUUCGAAGAAAGUAUAUGAAUAUUUCAUCUUAUUUCAACGUACGCAUGGUUAGUUCAAAUUUGACUGCCAGACUAAAUAAACGAUCUAGAAUAUACACAACUAUGUAAAAUUUGCAUUAAUACUGAACACGUGUUUCACCAGUCACAAUAACUUUUCAUUAUAAAGUUUUCAACAUUUUUUUUUUUCGUUUCACCAUGUAACAAUUUAUCCUUUCCGCUUAUCUUGCCACUGUUAACCAUAAUAUGCUGUGUUCUCACCGCCGAUCAGAUCAACUCGAUCAAGCACGAUCAAGCGAUCGGGCACCGGUCUAGCUCGGUCUGCAUGCGUGAUCGGGGCUGAUCGGAGCGGCCAACCUUGGUCGGCAUGGCCCUGGCUUCCUAUCCGAUUGUUUUUGACAUGUCAAAAAAAUUCGAGUAGCGAUCGAGUAGAUAAGACGUCGAGAAGCGAUCGUAUAGUGAUCGAGUAGAAGAUCUAGUUGAUCGAGAAUAAAUCGUGUAACGAUCUAGUUUGGUCGGGUAUACAUCGGAUUUACAUGUCUUACCAGGUGGAAAUCUGGCAACGAUCGAGCAGAGGUCCAGUUAGUCUAGUUGAGAUCGUGUAUGACUCGCGUAUAGGUCUUGGUUGGGAUGUUGGUCGGGUUGUCGUCGAGAAGAAGUCGUAAACAUGGUCGACUUGAGGUCGUGUAGGAGUCGUGAAUUUGCAUUUGAUCCAGCUUGGUCGGGCUUUAUCGGGGCAUUAAUGUGAUCGGGACGAUCGAGUUGAUCUGAUCGGCGGUGAGAACAUAGCUUUACCACGCUAAAUAUCUUAAAUAGACCUCUUGUUUUUUUCAAGCUGGACAAACCAUAUAUCAUUUGUUUUUAGGGAAAAUUCAACACAUAUACUGACUGACUAGCAAACAGUGUAUUUCAUUUCAUGGUUUAAAAUGUUGUAGGAUUUUUAUUUAUGCUGUACAUGUACUAAGCUAAAUGCUUUUUUGUAAUGUUAGAAUUGUUGAAGAAGAUUUUCACUUUCUUUAAGCUUGCUUAAAAACUUCCAAACUGAGAAAAAAUAUCCCAAUGAAUGGCCGUCUUUAAUCUAAUUCUAGAACUUUAUUAUCCAUAAAUGUACCGGGACCAAUUAAUUCAUUUAAGCUGAUUUGAUUUGAUUUGUUCAUUUUGCAUUUUGCAAAAGAUGUAUAAAAGAAUUUUUUCCGAAGUGAUCAAAUAUCAUUCUACCGUUGAAUAUUUUAUAUCGUGUUUUAAAGCUUGAUUACAUUUAAAACAAUAAUAUCAAGUCUUGUUGUUGUCCGACAGAUAUCGAUUUGUAAAUAUAUUACCACUUAUUAUCUAAUUGUUGUUUGAUUUAAAGUGGUGGCCGAGUGGUUAAGGUCGUUGUCUUCAAACCACUUGCCCCUCACCGCUGAAGGUUUGUAUAAUCACCAGGGACUUUCAUAUGAGGAAACUAUCCAGCUUACUUACGGAAGAUUGUUCUACUCAGGUACAUGUUUUGUACCUGCAAUAGUGCACAGAAGGGCACCUAAGGUCUUCCUCCACCAGUAAAGCUGUAAAGUCACCAUAUGAAUUAUACUGUGUAGGUGGGACGUUAAAACCUACCAUAAAAAUGUAAAUAGUAUAUUUAUAGAAAGGAAUAAAAGGUUACGCUUGCGAAGUUAAUUGAUAAUUAAUUUAUAAUUUUAGUGCCUUGUAUAAUCACCACUAAUAUUUUGCCUUUUAUUGCUGUACUUUUGUAUGUUUUUUUUUAUAUAUAUUUGUUAACCCUUAAUUAUAUUUAUACUGUUUGAAAAUAAAUGUACUACAUUUUUAAAUGGAA